AAAGGAAGAUGAGACUAGACUAUAGUUACAGGAAAGGUGUAUAAAGCCCCACCUCACCAUCUAUGUGUGUCAGCAACAGGCCAGGAAUCAACCACAGACCAGGAAUCAACCACAGACCAAGCCAGGGGGGGAGAGGUAUACCACACUCUCUAUCUAGAGGACCUGACACUGUGGGACCUCUCAGAGAAGAUGGCUCUCCUUUACAAUAUAACUCCCCAGCAGAUCAGCCACAUCUACAGACAAGGACCUACUGGGA